UGUCAAGGUGGAAUGAGCAAAGCCAACAACAUUAAAGCAUUUACUGUUACUAAACCUUGUAUGUGGCUAAAGUCAACAGUAUCGGUAUAGAUGUUCAUAUUUUGUAAUGUUUAUAAAAAUCAGUGCCAUCAAAACCGAAACCGUACAUAGCAUCAUGUUUCAUUCCAGUUUCAACCACAGUAGCAUGAAGAUUAGGGUAUGAGUCCCUAGUAAGUUCGUUUACUGCACCUCUCUUGAUAACUCUACCUGGACACAGAAAAUUUGAGGUGGAGUUACUAAAUCUCAGGCCACGUCCUCUAAUCUCAUUUUCUAGUGGAUCCAUACUAGCUUUCUGUAUGUCAGGGAGUGUAUUUUAUAACCUUCACCUUUUUGUGUAGGUUUUUACUUGCUUGUUGCUUAACUACCUGUGUAAGCUACAGUGGCACUCAAACACACCGUAUCAAGACACUAGAGUACAAAUCAAGUAGACUGAUUGAUAUUUUGGUUACUCAGACUUAUUUUCUCCAACUAAGUAAGACUAUUUUGAAUGCAGUUACUCUUUGCAGCACAGCUGUGAAAGAGUACCUCUCAGUGACAGGCAAGCAAGGCUUCUGCUUGGGUCCUACCCCCAGGAGGUUCAUGGGAGAGAUCAUCCCAAAGGAUUCAGCACAACCUGCGUGCCUGCCUUGCUGCUUCUCAUUGCUUUCACUGCCAAAACCAAAGAAUGAAGCUUUUUGUUUCCGAGCUAGUUAGUGUGUCCAUGAGCUUAUCCCUGGAGAAUUGCGCAGCUGCAGAGUGAUAUGGCUAGAGAUGGGGAAGAGAAAAGUUUCACUCAGCCUUGCUGCCCUGCGCAAAAUUUGUUUAUUAAAGCCAAACAAGAAUUUGUGCCUCUCAUAAACCUGCAUUUUUUCUCUUUGCCAAAAGAGAAAAAUCACUCCCAUCUCUCAGCAGCAAUUCCCUCACUUAAAAUGCCAUUGAGCCUUCAUUGUCUAUUUACACUUUUUGAUUAGGACCAGCAGCAUGCUUUCUUAAAAAAAAUAAUAUGUUUAAUGAAAAAAGCAUUUUUUUUUUCCCCCACAAGUUGCAGUGUUAUCUGAACGGAUUAUCCAUGGUGUGGAUUCUCCAGGCCUUACCUGCCUCCAUCACUCCUGGCCACAUCACCAUGUCUGAAUGGAGCAUCGUUCAUCCCCAGCCCCAUUCUGCCUGCUUAAAGCUGCCUCCGUUCUCUACAGGAAUUUGCUUACCAGCAUUUCCAAGCCCUGGUCUCUUCCAGUGCAGACCAUGGUCUUCAUAAUGUGGGCAGUACGAGUACAUGGUCCCCUCAGUGCCUGGGAACUCAGCAGCUGCCUGCAGCACCUCGUGCCCCAACUUUCCUCCACAGAAUGCCUGCAAGGUGAGCCAAGGGCAGAAGGUGUGGGUCUUUUCCUCAUUCAUUGAAGAUACACAGAGAAGCAGCCAAAAUGACCCACAAAAGUGACACUUUACCAGCUGAAAGUACAGCAACAAUGGCUGGAGAUCAAUCAUUGAUGGAUGUACUAGGUUAAGAUCUCUAUCCUACGUACUCAAGUAGCAACUUGCUUUAUACCUUUCUUAGCAUUACAUUAUACAUUUUUUAGCUUGUUCUAUCUAAAGGUAACACACUACAAUAUGAUAAUGAUUUUUGUAAAGAUGUGUUCAAACUCACAAAGAUCGAAGGACUUUGAAUUAGUUAAAAUCUCAUCAUUUUCAUAUAUAACAUUUGCCUGAGUCACACUAAACCGAUAUCUUAAGUUUCUCACAAGCUUAAGAAUACAAAUAAAUGUUUUUGGAAUACA